CUCAGAGCGCCGCCGCCUCAGCCGCCCCGCCGGAAGCCCCGCCCCCCGUCCCGCUCUCUGCCAUCUGAUUGGGCAGCGGCUCUGUCAAUCAACCCCGGCGCUUUCCGCCUGGCCAAGCCACGCCCCCACCCUCGCGCUGAAGGGGCGGGGCCGGAAUGAGGGCGCAUCUUAAAGGAGCCGCGUUAUUAUUUCGUGAGGGGAGUGAGGCUCCGCUGAGAGACAGAGAGAUAAAUAAAUAGAUUAAUAAACAAUUUGAGCUUCUGGUGAAGAAACGGGAACUCGUAUGGAGUUCACAUGGAAUUUACGUGGAAUUCACAUGGAAUUGGUGCGACAAUCCAACCCUCUGGGGCCUUUGGUAAAGGCCGGGGAGCAGCUUUGCCCUUGGAGGAGCCGGUGCUGCCUUCACUGAGCAGCAUUUUUGGAGCCCCCAGAGAAUCAUUUCCCCUUCCAUUGGGGAAGGGGAAUAAAAGAUUGGCAGCUCUGUAAGGAUCUCAGACAGGAUUUUAUGGAAUGGGAUUUAGGAAUUUCCAUCUAAAAUCUGCUUUUCCCUUGUUUUUUCCAAGUGGGAAUUCUUUGCUGCAUUCCAAAUCUGAGUGACAGAGAAAUUCAGAGAAAACUGAUUUAUUUUUUUCCCAGGAAAAUUUGAAUUUAUUUGUCUGAAUUCCCUGAUCUCACCCUUGUUUCUAUGGAAUUGUGGAUUUGUGCUUUCUGUGGGAAAAAUUUCUGGUGUUUUUUUCUUGGAGCAGAGGGUUGUAAUGAAAGGAUUUUGUUUUACUUCCCAAACACCACCAAUGAAUGAGUUUCUGAAACAAGGGAGGUACAGGAUGAGUUUAUUUCCUAAAAUAAAAUGGGAUAUCUGAUAUCUCA
rnacentral:lncRNA from 1 species